rnacentral:piRNA from 1 species
UGGCCACUUCAAAUCUUUCUCCGAUGCUG